GUCCCAUGUGCCGCUGGUCUGCCUUUGUGCGUCCUUGCCCAAAGUCAAGCGAGUGGCCUUCCUUCCCGGUUCCAGGUUCCAGUUUACUGUGGCAGAUCUAACCAGGGAUGAACCUUGGCGCUCCAGUUAUUGGAAGGUAAGACCCAGGAACUGCCAAGCUGGGUCAAGGCGACCACAAGAGGGUGCAGCUCUUCCAGGUUGUUCGGUUCUUCUUUCUGUAAAAUGAUUGUGUCCAAUUCGUUCGUGUUGCUAGUCUGAAGGAACUUGACUGGGACUUUUUUCUUAAUUUAAAGAGAUAGUAAAUAAAUAACAAAUAGAGGAACUGUCUAAUUAAAUC
ensembl:lncRNA